UGGGGAAUCUUGCGCAAUGGCCGAAAGGCUGACGCAGCGACGCCGCGUGUGGGAGGACGCCCUUCGGGGUGUAAACCACUGUUGCCCGGGACGAAUUCGCCUUUUCGAGGGAGUUGACGGUACCGGGUGAGGAAGCACCGGCUAACUCCGUGCCAGCAGCCGCGGUAAUACGGAGGGUGCGAGCGUUGUCCGGAAUCACUGGGCGUAAAGGGCGCGUAGGCGGCGCGAGAAGUCAACGGUGAAAGCCCGGGGCUCAACCCCGGGUCGGCCGUCGAUACUCUUGGGCUUGAGCACUGUAGAGGCAGGUGGAAUUCCGGGUGUAGCGGUGGAAUGCGUAGAGAUCCGGAAGAACACCGGUGGCGAGGGCGGCCUGCUGGGCAGUGGCUGACGCUGAGGCGCGACAGCGUGGGGAGCAAACAGGAUUAGAUACCCUGGUAGUCCACGCCGUAAACGAUGGGCACUAGGUGCUUGGGGGAGCGACCCUCUGAGUGCCGGCGCUAACGCAUUAAGUGCCCCGCCUGGGGAGUACGGCCGCAAGGCUG
rnacentral:rRNA from 1 species